AAGUCGUAACAAGGUUUCCGUAGGUGAACCUGCGGAAGGAUCAUUAACACGUAUCCAACGUUAAACCCCCCGUGAACCUUCAGUGCGCUCGCACUUUCUUAGAAAAGGUAGCAAUCCCUGGUAAAUCAUUGCCGAACAGUUUUGAUUCAGGGACUUCUGCGUAGACUGUGCUUGAGCGUGAGGCAAGUGGCCUGCAUUCCUCUGUGUCACCAGCUCUGUACGAAUGGCGCAGUCACGAUCGCUAGAGGCCGACACGGCCGGCGACCGGGUCACUGGGCGCGAGCCCCCCUCGUCACCUUUGCAUGAAAACGGGCCUGCGCUUAAUUGUGCGGCCACCAAACUCGAACAACUGUUAACAAUGGAUAUCUUGGUUCUC
rnacentral:misc_RNA from 1 species